UACGUAGGGUGCGCGCGUUGUCCGGACUUCUUGGGCGUAAAGGGCUCGUAGGCGGUUUGUCACGUCGGGAGUGAAAACUCAGGGCUCAACCCUGAGCCUGCUUCCGAUACGGGCAGACUAGAGGUAUGCAGGGGAGAACGGAAUUCCUGGUGUAGCGGUGAAAUGCGCAGAUAUCAGGAGGAACACCGGUGGCGAAGGCGGGUCUCUGGGCCGAUACUGACGCUGAGGAGCGAAAGCGUGGGGAGCGAACAGG
rnacentral:rRNA from 1 species